rnacentral:rRNA from 1 species
GUCGAGCGGUAGAGAGAAGCUUGCUUCUCUUGAGAGCGGCGGACGGGUGAGUAAUGCCUAGGAAUCUGCCUGGUAGUGGGGGAUAACGCUCGGAAACGGACGCUAAUACCGCAUACGUCCUACGGGAGAAAGCAGGGGACCUUCGGGCCUUGCGCUAUCAGAUGAGCCUAGGUCGGAUUAGCUAGUUGGUGAGGUAAUGGCUCACCAAGGCGACGAUCCGUAACUGGUCUGAGAGGAUGAUCAGUCACACUGGAACUGAGACACGGUCCAGACUCCUACGGGAGGCAGCAGUGGGGAAUAUUGGACAAUGGGCGAAAGCCUGAUCCAGCCAUGCCGCGUGUGUGAAGAAGGUCUUCGGAUUGUAAAGCACUUUAAGUUGGGAGGAAGGGCAGUAAAUUAAUACUUUGCUGUUUUGACGUUACCGACAGAAUAAGCACCGGCUAACUCUGUGCCAGCAGCCGCGGUAAUACAGAGGGUGCAAGCGUUAAUCGGAAUUACUGGGCGUAAAGCGCGCGUAG